rnacentral:lncRNA from 1 species
AUGCUCAACCAAUAGAGUUUCUUCAGCACGAUGGCAUGAAUUAACAGCAGUAAGUUAUUCAUAAACAAUAAAUAAUAUGUUUAUUGUUUUUCUAUCUGAUUCGAUUGUAUUUGUAUCCUGCACUUGGUUUCCUUGUGGUCUUUAAACUUACUUAUGUGCGCAUGGGGAGGAUGGUUUUGGAACUUGCUCUGAACUUGGUUUCAGAAACACAGAGUAAUCAACCAUAGGAGAGCAUGGUUAACUUCCAUGUUGCUAACGAUAAUGAUUGCACUACCAUUCUCUGUUGUCUUUCGAAAUCUUGUUCAUUUAGCUGGUAAGCCAUGGGCCAUGGCACUGUUGGCUGAUUUCUUGUGAGAAAAACAUUGUUGAAUGGUUGGCAGGUUCGGCUGAUUUCUUGUUCAUUUCAGAAACAUUACCAGUUGAACUAGUAGGAAUUACAUUACCAGUUUCUCAAGGGCUGGAUUAAUUGUAUCACUCGUUGACAGCACAUAAUAUUAUGCAGAGUCAACUACUCCAGUAAACAACGGCAAUGGGAAGAAAGCGGUGCUAAAGGUUUUGGAGACACGGUAGUGUUGGGUACACGAAUUAAUGAGCAACGGAGAGUAAGCGAUAAUCUGGUGCGUCAGACUGCAGAUUACUUGGCCAAUUGUUACGGGCAUGAGCAGAUAAGGUUAGCUGGCAAACAAGUAAGCAAUCCCCAAUAAGAGACUAGUACUUGCCUCGUAGUCCUUGGACGGGGCGGCCGACGCGGACACGGAGGCUCGUGGACGGAGGCGACUCGCCGACGACGAGGCGGCGGCGGCGGCAGAGAGUGAUCGAAACCGACGAAACUGGGUAGCAGCAGGGAGCCGAGGGAGAUGAGAG